rnacentral:rRNA from 1 species
CGUGAAAAUGGAUGUCGCGAAGCGGGUGCCGACAGCACGCCGUCUGGUAAAGAAUUAUGAUCAGAUGAGUAGGAGGGCGUGGCGGUUGUAUCGAAGGGUAUGUGCAGACAUGCCUGGAACGGCCGCUAGUGCAGAUCUUGGUGGUAGUAGCAAGUAUUCAAGCGAGAUCCUUGAAGGGCGAAGCGGGGAAGGGUUCCACGCGAACAUUGAUUGGGCGUGGGUGAGUCGUUCCUAAGCCGAGUGGCGAUUGCUAAGUAGCGGCGAAAGGGAAGCUGGUUGACAUUCCAGCACACGGAUGUGGAGGCGGUGACGCAUAUUGGGACGAACACGCUGGCGGUGGCGCUGGGCAGAGUUGUCUUUUCUGUUUGACUCUUGCGCGCGCGGUGUGGAAUCCGCUUGUCGGGAGAAACACGCGUGUCGAGGCAGAGCGCCGGGGCUUUUCCGGCGUCCAGCUCGCCACCGACGGCCCUUGAAACUUUGUCUGCUUAAAUCCACGCCGUGGCGUACCGAUCACCGCAUCAGGUCCCCAAGGUGAACAGCCUCUGCUCUAUAUGAACAAUGCAGGUAAGGGAAGUCGGCAAAUUAGACCCGUAACUUUGGGAUAAGGGUUGGCUCUAGUGCUGCGUGGGAGUGGUUGCCUGCGGUUGGAGGAGUUGGCGAGGCUGGCUUGGCGCGGUGCCGGCUGCUGAGCUGGUUUUUCGGCGGUGGGCGACGCCC